rnacentral:rRNA from 1 species
AUGAACGCUAGCGGGAGGCCUAACACAUGCAAGCCGAGCGGUAGAGAUCUUUCGGGAUCUUGAGAGCGGCGUACGGGUGCGGAACACGUGUGCAACCUGCCUUUAUCUGGGAGAUAGCCUUUCGAAAGGAAGAUUAAUACCCCAUAAUAUAUGAUUCGGCAUCGGAUUCUAUUGAAAGCUCCGGCGGAUAGAGAUGGGCACGCGCAAGAUUAGAUAGUUGGUGAGGUAACGGCUCACCAAGUCAGUGAUCUUUAGGGGGCCUGAGAGGGUGAUCCCCCAAACUGGUACUGAGACACGGACCAGACUCCUACGGGAGGCAGCAGUGAGGAAUAUUGGACAAUGGGUGAAAGCCUGAUCCAGCCAUCCCGCGUGAAGGACGACGGCCCUAUGGGUUGUAAACUUCUUUUGUAUAGGGAUAAACCUACCCUCGUGAGGGUAGCUGAAGGUACUAUACGAAUAAGCACCGGCUAACUCCGUGCCAGCAGCCGCCGUAA